rnacentral:rRNA from 1 species
UCGCCAGACUCCUACGGGAGGCAGCAGUGAGGAAUAUUGGUCAAUGGGCGGAAGCCUGAACCAGCCAAGUCGCGUGAGGGAAGAAGGCCCUGCGGGUCGCAGACCUCUUUGGACGGGGAGCAAGGCCGCCGACGUGUCGGCGGAAGGAGAGUACCCGUAGAACAAGCAUCGGCUAACUCCGUGCCAGCAGCCGCGGUAAUACGGAGGAUGCGAGCGUUAUCCGGAUUUAUUGGGUUUAAAGGGUGCGUAGGCGGCAUUAUAAGUUAGUGGUAAAAUAUUGGGGCUUCACCUCACUACGCCAUUAAUACUGUAGAGCUAGAGAACAGACGAGGUAGGCGGAAUAAGUUAAGUAGCGGUGAAAUGCAUAGAUAUAACUUAGAACACCGAUAGCGAAGGCAGCUUACCAGACUGAGUCUGACGCUGAUGCACGAGAGCAUGGGUAGCGAACAGGAUUAGAUACCCUCGUA